rnacentral:rRNA from 1 species
GACGAACGCUGGCGGCGUGCCUAAUACAUGCGAGUAGAACGCUGAAGGAGGAGCUUGCUUCUCUGGAUGAGUUGCGAACGGGUGAGUAACGCGUAGGUAACCUGCCUGGUAGCGGGGGAUAACUAUUGGAAACGAUAGCUAAUACCGCAUAAGAGUAGAUGUUGCAUGACAUUUGCUUAAAAGGUGCAAUUGCAUCACUACCAGAUGGACCUGCGUUGUAUUAGCUAGUUGGUGGGGUAACGGCUCACCAAGGCGACGAUACAUAGCCGACCUGAGAGGGUGAUCGGCCACACUGGGACUGAGACACGGCCCAGACUCCUACGGGAGGCAGCAGUAGGGAAUCUUCGGCAAUGGACGGAAGUCUGACCGAGCAACGCCGCGGGAGUGAAGAAGGUUUUCGGAUCGUAAAGCUCUGUUGUAAGAGAAGAACGAGUGUGAGAGUGGAAAGUUCACACUGUGACGGUAUCUUACCAGAAAGGGACGGCUAACUACGUG